UGUCAGUCUCGGUCAGGUGUCGAUCAAAUUCGGGAGGAUGGCGCUGCGACAUUUAUCCACGGAGGAUUUAAUCACGGAGUUAUUUCAUUUUGGGAUAGAGGUCACUGAAGAGGAGUGAAGUAAAUUCAAAGAUAAUGCAGUUGAUGGAGAAGCAGUGGACUAUGGAUUGACUGAGAGAAUUGUUUCAUACCUCUUUGAAGGAUCGUUUAAGAAGCAAGCAAAAUUCAACCGAUUUGUUCAGCAGUGGAAAGAAACCGUGACACUAACCCUCGAGCCUGUCCCGGUACAUUCAGAGAAGGCUACACCGGAAUCAAGUCAUGCAAUCCCAUCAUCAGCCUUCCCAGCAGCUUUCAUCAUUCCUAAAUUUCCCAGAGAUGUUCAGACAAAGUUGGACCAAAAACCGCCAUGCAAAAUGGAGAGAUCCGAUCACAACAAAAUCAUAAGAACAUUAUAUGAAACCAUGGCCCUGAUCAAAAUGUUUCUGACCAAUGACGACUACGUGAAAGUGUGUAAGGCCCUGAUUUUGAAAUACCCUUUCUUAAAGGACAAAGAAGGAAAUGGUUAUUUUAUUCCCUGUAUCUAUUCUCUUAUAUCGCUGUUUUGUUUUUGGAGUGGCAGUAUGAAGUUGUCAGUUGGUCAAUGAAAUGCUUCUUAAAAAUGUAUUUAAUUUUUUUAAAUGUUUUUUUUAUAUCAGACAUGACAUCCUAAACAUUGUGGCAUUUUAUUUUGGGAUGUUACAUUGUAUGGUUGUGAGAUGAAUUAUUAUUGAAUCUGUGAAUUAAACUGUUUUCCAUAUAUGGACUAAAAUAAAUGUCUAAAAUUCAGUUAGUUGUUGUUUGCCUACAUUUUCUUUCACUCCUUAAGGAAUAAAAAGGAACUUUUUUGCCACCUA